rnacentral:miRNA from 1 species
UCCGCCAUCAGCUGAGGAUUG